rnacentral:rRNA from 1 species
AAAUGACUUUUGAACUUAGUGGCGGACGGGUGAGUAACGCGUGAGCAACCUGCCUUUCAGAGGGGGAUAACAUUUGGAAACAGAUGCUAAUACCGCAUAAGAUUACAGUACCGCAUGAUACAGUGAUCAAAGGAGCAAUCCGCUAAUAGAUGGGCUUGCGUCUGAUUAGCUAGUUGGUGAGGUAAUGGCCCACCAAGGCGACGAUCGGUAGCCGGACUGAUAGGUUGAACGGCCACAUUGGGACUGAGACACGGCCCAGACUCC